rnacentral:rRNA from 1 species
UACGGAGGGUGCAAGCGUUAUCCGGAUUCACUGGGUUUAAAGGGUGCGUAGGUGGGCAGGUAAGGCAGUGGUGAAAUCUCCGAGCUUAACUCGGAAACUGCCGUUGAUACUAUUUGUCUUGAAUAUUGUGGAGGUAAGCGGAAUAUGUCAUGUAGCGGUGAAAUGCUUAGAUAUGACAUAGAACACCAAUUGCGAAGGCAGCUUACUACACAACGAUUGACGCUGAGGCACGAAAGCGUGGGGAUCAAACAGG